AUUGAACGCUGGCGGCAGGCCUAACACAUGCAAGUCGAGCGGAUGAAGGGAGCUUGCUCCUGGAUUCCGCGGCGGACGGGUGAGUAAUGCCUAGGAAUCUGCCUGGUAGUGGGGGAUAACGUCCGGAAACGGGCGCUAAUACCGCAUACGUCCUGCGGGUGCUAGUGGGGGAUCUUCGGACCUCACGCUAUCAGAUGAGCCUAGGUCGGAUUAGCUAGUUGGUGGGGUAAAGGCCUACCAAGGCGACGAUCCGUAACUGGUCUGAGAGGAUGAUCAGUCACACUGGAACUGAGACACGGUCCAGAGUCCUACGGGAGGCAGCAGUGGGGAAUAUUGGACAAUGGGCGAAAGCCUGAUCCAGCCAUGCCGCGUGUGUGAAGAAGGUCUUCGGAUUGUAAAGCACGUUAAGUUGGGAGGAAGGGCAGUAAGUUAAUACCUUGCUGUUUUGACGUUACCAACAGAAUAAGCACCGGCUAACUUCGUG
rnacentral:rRNA from 1 species